rnacentral:lncRNA from 1 species
GGACAGACUGCUUCUGAAAUAAUGUAGCUCAGGGAAGCCCAGUGCACACUCUUCCAAGUUUAUCUAGGAUAUUAUAUAGCAUCAGGAAAAAAUUCUUCUCAGUGUGUGGAAAACAGAACCAGCUGAGAACUGUCCCUGUUUCACACACAGAGAAAUGAGGUUUAAUGGAACACAGUGCAAAGGAGCUGCAGUUAUUGUGUUUUUACUCAGCUCAGGAACUGGAUAUAAUAAAGACCUUGGUGAAGAAUGCUCCAUGGGAAAGAUCAGCUCUAGUGCAAGGGGCUCCAUAUGGCACCCUGCGUAGCCACAGCCUGAAGGGCCCGUCAUAUAUACUGUUCUGUUUUCUAUGGACUCACUGAAAUCCCCUGCUGUAUCUCUGACCAGACAAAAAUUCUCUUUGGGAAGACAGCCAGCUCAAUGCAGGACUGCAUUUGAAUGCCACUGGAGGGAAUAAAUACUUCUUAGUGACUUGCA